GACGAACGCUGGCGGCGUGCCUAAUACAUGCAAGUCGAGCGGACGGAUGGGAGCUUGCUCCCAGCCCGUCAGCGGCGGACGGGUGAGUAACACGUGGGCAACCUGCCUGUAAGACUGGGAUAACUCCGGGAAACCGGGGCUAAUACCGGAUAACUCUUUCCCUCACAUGAGGGAAAGCUGAAAGAUGGCAUCUCGCUAUCACUUACAGAUGGGCCCGCGGCGCAUUAGCUAGUUGGUGAGGUAACGGCUCACCAAGGCGACGAUGCGUAGCCGACCUGAGAGGGUGAUCGGCCACACUGGGACUGAGACACGGCCCAGACUCCUACGGGAGGCAGCAGUAGGGAAUCUUCCGCAAUGGACGAAAGUCUGACGGAGCAACGCCGCGUGAGUGAUGAAGGUGUUCGGAUCGUAAAACUCUGUUGUCAGGGAAGAACAAGUACCGGAGUAACUGCCGGUACCUUGACGGUACCUGACCAGAAAGCCACGGCUAACUACGUG
rnacentral:rRNA from 1 species